rnacentral:rRNA from 1 species
GAUGAACGCUGGCGGCGUGCCUAAUACAUGCAAGUCGAGCGAACGGACGAGAAGCUUGCUUCUCUGAUGUUAGCGGCGGACGGGUGAGUAACACGUGGAUAACCUACCUAUAAGACUGGGAUAACUUCGGGAAACCGGAGCUAAUACCGGAUGAUAUUUUGAACCGCAUGGUUCAAAAGUGAAAGACGGUCUUGCUGUCACUUAUAGAUGGAUCCGCGCUGCAUUAACUAGUUGGUAAGGUAACGGCUUACCAAGGCAACGAUGCAUAGCCGACCUGAGAGGGUGAUCGGCCACACUGGAACUGAGACACGGUCCAGACUCCUACGGGAGGCAGCAGUAGGGAAUCUUCCGCAAAGGGCGAAAGCCUGACGGAGCAACGCCGCGUGAGUGAUGAAGGUCUUCGGAUCGUAAAACUCUGUUAUUAGGGAAGAACAUAUGUGUAAGUAACUGUGCACAUCUUGACGGUACCUAAUCAGAAAGCCACGGCUAACUACGUG